rnacentral:rRNA from 1 species
AUUUUGUUGGGGCGACAGAGAAAUAUUUAAAACUUUCUUUAAAUUUACAAGCCGAUAUUGUUAAGUAAGGAUAAAUUACCUGAGGGAUAACAGCAUAAUUCUACAGUUGAGUUUGUGACCUCGAUGUUGGACUAGGAAACUAACAGGCUAGCCGUUUGUUGUGUGGGUUCUGUUCGAACUCUAAUUCCU